UAGUUAUGACGAUUGUGUUUGCUUAGGGUUUUCUUAAUGUUAGUGUUAAUUCAAAAAAAUGAAGAACAAAUUGUGUGCAAUACUAAGUGGGUCUUAGUAUUAUGGUAUUUCAUUGUUCAAUUUAUACCAUACUAUGUUCAUAUUGUCACGAAAUUAGUUCUUUCCUUUGCCGUGUAAUAUUACCUCUGUUGAUAAUGAUACCACGGUACAAUAAGGCUACAGUUUCUUUGUCAUUCAUAUAUAAUGAUACUAUGUUCAACUAUAUUGUAUGCGUGUUUAAUGUACAAUGUCUAUUUUAGUUAUCAUCUGUCCUUUCAUUUCAUUCAGGCAGGAGAUGAGUGGGUUUACUUUGGUUACUUUAAGAUGGUAUCAUGGUGGGGUGUUAGAUUUAAGUAGUGGAGAACCAGUAUAUAAUGGUGGGCAAGUUACUGAAUCUUUGGAUGUUGAUGUGGAUAGGUUAUCCUCUUUUGAAUUGGCAUGCUACAUUAAAGAAUUGGGAUACACCACAACUUGCACAUUUUGUAUUAAACCAUCUGACAAUGGCAUUUUGGAAGAUAUUGGUAAUGAUAUGGAUGUUUUAGACUCGUGUUAUUCUUUGAAAGAUGGAGAUAUUAUGGAGAUAUAUGUAAAACACUUGAUUGAUGAACCACUUGAGGAUCCCAUUUUAUUAGAAAAUGUUAGUCAUGAGGAUAGGGAGAAAUCUGGCUCAACUUUUAAUAAAGGGGAUGAAAAAAGUGGUGGUCCAAACAUUAAGGUUGGUGAAGAGCCUUUAAAUGGUGAGAACCCUUUUACUAGAACUCCUCCCACGAGAACCUCUUCUACCACAACUCAAGUCAAUACUACAGAUCCUACUACGUAGAUCCUGCUACUACAAAUUCUGCUACUGCAAAUGCUGCUGAUAUAGAUUUAGGUCCUGUUGGAUUUGAUUUCAUAGAAGAAGAUAGUUCUGAUUACUCAUUGAGAAUGGUUCUGAUUACUCAAUUAAGGAUAGUGUUAAGUCUGAAGGUGAGUUAGUUGGAGAUGAUGAUGAGGAUUAUGAUAGUGAUGUGCAGGAAGAGGUUAGAGAGUUGAGGGUUGAAAAGAGGUCAUUUCAAAGAAGAAAAAGAAAUGAAAGAGUACCAGCUGACGUUGAAGAGGUACAAUAGGUGAAGCUGGAUUAGAUUUAGGUUUUGAUGAAACUGAAACGGGUAAAAUAAGUGUUGAAGGAAGGUUAGAGGGUGAUGAGCCUUACUAUUUAAGUUUUGAUGCUGACAGUUUUGAAAUAGAUAAAGAUGAGUGUUGUGAUGAAGAUUAACAUUAUUCUGAUGCUGGAAGGGUAAAUUUACCUAGAAGGGUGAAUUUAUCAAGAAGGAGGAGGGAAAGAAAUAAGAAAAUUAUUCAUGACCCUACUACCUAGAAAGUUGUGUGGCAGUUGGGUAUGGUCUUUGCAGAUGUAAAUGAAUUUAGAAGAGCAGUAACUAAAUAUGUUGUCCAAAAAAGAGUUCAGGUAGAGAAGUGUGUGAAUGAGCCAAAAAGAGUUAAAGAGUUAUGUGCAGGGAUGGUUGUCCAUGUUGUAUGCAUGUCUUGACAACACAAUAAAUGAUUUCAUGAUAAAGACUUAGAGCUCGUUUGGAUGGGCUUAAAAAAAGUAACAUUUGUGUAUGAAGUGCUUUUAGAACUUUGAAGUACUGAAAGUUAUUUUUAUAAAUAAGCAGUUGAGUGUUUGGAUAAAAGUGCUUAAAUGAGGAAAAUGAUGUGAAUUUUAGGGUUAAAAGAAUAAAAAGGGUAGUUUGGAAAUUUAGUUAAAAUAUAAGGGAUAUAAAAGUAAUUUUCAUGGUUAAAGAAAAUGACUUUAAGCACUUAGAAAAAAAAAGUUAGAAUCCUAACUUUUCAUUUUUGACUGACUUUAAGAACUUUAUGGCUUAAAGUUAGCAUUAGACAAACACGUCCAAAAGCUAAAAAAGGGCUUUAAGUUGGUUUUGACCAACACUUAAAGCCCAUCCAAACGGGCUCUUACAAUCCAAAGCAUACUUGUAACAACACAACUAGGAAUUAUUUUUGUAAUACAAAGUUUACAUCUACAGUUUUUAGAGAAAACGUUACUGAGCAACCAAACAUAAGAGUUUUCAAGUUGCAAGAGUUAAUUAAGAAAAAGCUUUAAAAUUCAUGUUGGCAAGACUACUCUUAGAAGGGAAAGAGCUAAAGUGUUGAAAGGUAUCAUGGGUGAUCAUAUUGUGGAAUUUGACAUAAUUCUGGACUAUAAAGAUGAACUGUUGAGGACCAAUCCAGAAAGAACUUAUGUUGUUACACCUGGUGAACCUGAUGGACUUGGUAGACUAGUAUUUCAGAGCUUUUACAUUUGUUUUGAUCCAUUGAAAAGGCAUUCUUAAAUUGUAGUAAGUGCAUAGGUUUAGAUGGUUGUUUUCUUAAUGGAGUUUGUAGAGGUCAAUUGUUAGUAGUUGUGGCCAAAGAUAAUAAUAACCAAAUGUUGUUACUUGCUUGGAAGUAGUUGAGUAUGAGAACAAAAAUUCAUGGACAUGAUUUGUCAAGCUAUUAAAGAAUGAUCUAGGACUAGAAGAUGGUGGAGAUCUCACUUUGAUAACAUAUAUGCAAAAAGUAUGUGUACUUUUUUUUUGAUUUGCAUCUAUUAGUUUUAAUGUUGUAUGUGUAUGUUAUUAUAACAUAACUACAUUUGUUAUAGGGAUUGUUUGCAGUAAUUCAAGAUCUUUUACUUGUUGCUGAACAUAAAAGUGUGCUAGGCACAUCUUAGCUAACUGGGCUAAGGACCGGAGAGGUCUUCAAAGAAGACAACAAUUUUGGAUGAUUACCAAGAGUACUUUUGGGUCUCAAUUGAGAAAAAAUAUGAAAAAGAUGAAGUUGCUUGGUCCAGAGAAAAUAAUGGAUGAUUUAAUGUACUACAACAUAGAGUACUGGUGUAAGGUGUACUUCAAUACUGAAAUAAAAUGUAAUUUUGUAGAUAGUAAUAUGCCUGAGUGUUUUAAUGCAUGAAUCUUGACAGCAAGGCAUAAAACAAUUAUUACCGUGCUUGAAGAGAUAAGAGUGAAAAUGAUGACAAAAAUAGCUAAGUUAAGUGAGUUUACAAAUAGUUUGAAGUGCAUUUUCUCUCCAAUGGCUUUGAACGUACUAGAAGAGAAUAUUGAUAGGUCAAUAAAUUGUAAUAUUGAAUUUAAUGGAGUUGCUGGGCUUGAAGUGAGAGAGGGACUAUGUCAACACAAUGUAGAUCUUGACAGGGGAACUUGUAGUUGUAGGGCAUGACAAUUAAAGGGCAUACCAUGUGCACAUGCUGUGGCUGUAAUAAACUUCAAGAAAUAUUGUCCUCUUGACUAUGUUGAUAGCUGCUACACUAAGGAAACUUACUUGAGAACUUAUGCUAAUGUUCUUCAACCAGUCAAAAACAUGGAAAUAUGGCAUAUAUCUACUAACCCCACAUUUGCACCACCAGAAAUUUAAAACAUGCCUGGCAGGUCAAGUAAGGUUAGAAGGAAAGAAGCUGCUAAAACUAAGAAAUUUGAAAAGUUACCUAGAAUAGGACUUGCCAUGACAUGCAGUAACUGUAAUGGAAGAGUCCACAAUAAGAGAGGUUGUCCACAAAGUCUUGAAUCAUCAGCAAAGGAAGAACCAUCAAAUUCAGGUAGAGAAAGGAGCAAAACAUCAAGCUCAGGCAGGGGAAUAGGAAGACCAAAGAAACCAACAAGAGAUGAAGGUGAGCCUCCAGCUAAAAGGGGAAGAGGAAGACCAAGAAAAGAAACUGCAGUACCUAGUGCAUCUCCUCCACCUACUGCACCUCGUGCAUAUUCAGUACCUAAUGCACCUCCUCCACCGAUUGGACCGGUUGAUUAUCCAGUAUCCUCUUCUGCACCUCCUGAUUUCAUUGCCACUACUAAUAAAAAAGGAAGGGGAAGCACAACCCCAUACUAAAGACCAUCAAUCAUGGGAAUGGGUAUAUUUCAAGCUGAAAAUGGAUUCAAAGUCUUUAAUCUUGGCAUAUGCCAAGCAGUAGGAUAUUUUCUACUGGUACAACCAAAGUGACAAGAUUAGCUGAUAUAACUGUGAUAUUGAUUUCAAAUCAAGUACUGCAAGCAAAGCUUAAAUGGAAUGAAAAAGCAUCAUUCUCAACAAGAAAACUUCAAGAAUUGAGCGAGCAACAAAGAAAAAAAUUAAGAGGAAGUAGUUCAAACAAUCUGAUCCAGUUCAAAGAGCCAUGGAAAUUGUAGUAUUGGAGCACUGUUUUAAGUUAUUUAGUAGACAUGAAAACAUUUUUCUCAUUCUCUUUAGAGUGUUGAUGUAUUAGUAUUAAACGACUUUUGUUUGUAACUGGCAAUAUUUAUCUAUGUGAUACCUAUUUUAUAAAUGGUGUUAUGUCUA